GAUGAACGCUGGCGGCGUGCCUAAUACAUGCAAGUCGAGCGAACGGACGAGAAGCUUGCUUUUCUGAUGUUAGCGGCGGACGGGUGAGUAACACGUGUAUAACCUACCUAUAAUACUGGGAUAACUUCGGGAAACCGGAGCUUAUACCGGAUAAUAUUUUGAACCGCAUUGUUCAAAAGUGAAAGACGGUCUUGCUGUCACUUAUAGAUGGAUCCGCGCUGCAUUAGCUAGUUGGUAAGGUAACGGCUUACCAAGGCAACGAUGCAUAGCCGACCUGAGAGGGUGAUAGGCCACACUGGAACGGAGACACGGUCCAGACUCCUACGGGAGGCAGCAGUAGGGAAUCUGCCGCAAUGGUCGAAAGCCUUACGGAGCAACGCCGCGUGAGUGAUGAAGGUCUUCGGAGCGUAAAACUCUGUUAUUAGGGAAGAACAUAUGUGUAAGUAACUGUGCACAUCUUGACGGUACUUAAUCAGAAAGCCACGGCUAACUACGUG
rnacentral:rRNA from 1 species